CAGGACGGGUACAGCACAGGCAGCAACAGUGCGAGCUUUCCCCACACCACCCCGUCCAUGUGCCUCAACCCUGACCUGGAGGGACCACCUCUAGA
ensembl:misc_RNA